CCUACGGGUGGCAGCAGUGAGGAAUAUUGGUCAAUGGGCGGGAGCCUGAACCAGCCAAGUCGCGUGAGGGAAGAAGGUACUGAGUAUUGUAAACCUCUUUUGCCAGGGGACAAAGGCGGCCACGGGUGGCCGUAAGAGGGUACCUGGAGAAAAAGCAUCGGCUAACUCCGUGCCAGCAGCCGCGGUAAUACGGAGGAUGCGAGCGUUAUCCGGAUUUAUUGGGUUUAAAGGGUGCGCAGGCGGCCUGUCAAGUCAGCCGUAAAAUGUUGGGGCUCAACCGUGGGCGUGCGGUUAAAACUGGCGUGCUCGAGUUGGGGAGAAGUAGGCGGAAUUCGUGGUGUAGCGGUGAAAUGCAUAGAUAUCGCGCAGAACCCCGAUUGCGAAGGCAGCGUACCGGCUCCACACUGACGCUGAGGCACGAAAGCGUGGGUAUCGAACAGGAUUAGAUACCCCUGUAGUC
rnacentral:rRNA from 1 species